rnacentral:rRNA from 1 species
UACGAAGGGGGCUAGCGUUGUUCGGAAUUACUGGGCGUAAAGCGCGCGCAGGCGGUCUUCCAAGUCAGUGGUGAAAGCCUGGAGCUCAACUCCAGAACUGCCAUUGAAACUGUUAGACUUGAGUACGAGAGAGGUGAGUGGAAUUCCCAGUGUAGAGGUGAAAUUCGUAGAUAUUGGGAAGAACACCAGUGGCGAAGGCGGCUCACUGGCUCGUAACUGACGCUCAUGCACGAAAGCGUGGGGAGCAAACAGG